ensembl:lncRNA
UGAUCACUCAAUGUAUGAUAUUGUUACCAACAAUCAUACUUACUUCCAAAAAAUGUAACAUAAGCUCAAGUACUAUUUAUGAUUUUACAAAAACAUCACAUGGUCCUGCCUUUAAUAAGAAACGUCAAAUAGAAAGUAGAGAUCGCUUCCAGUUAUGUUUAUGAAAGAUAGAUUAAAAAAGUUAAUGAAUAAGGACGAUUUUCAAAUUCCGGUCCAUAUUUUCCAAACCACAGCGCGCUAACAGAGAAAUUCAAUUAAGGAUCCUCUCCCCACUUGGAGCCGGUCUCCAGGGCACAUCUUGCGGGCGACUCACCCUGUAAGAAAUAAGAAAAUGCCUCAAUAAAAACAUGUAAAUCUGAAAUAAAGCGACAACUUUAUCCACGAAUGCUGCCCAGUAUACACAUUUAUCACCCGGGUCCUUUUACUUUGAAGUCAACGAAAGACAACGAAGUGCAGAGAUGAUGCACCAUCCAAAUGAUGACAGAUUAGCAUACGAUCAUUCAUGGAAAGCCGUCUCCCUGGCCUGCUAACGCGCUAUAUCACAAGGAAGGAGGCGGCGGCGGUGGGCGGUGGGCGGCGAGGAUCAAGGCGUCGGCGGCGCGGGGAGUUGAUUGAUCGUCAGUGAAGUGGACGCCGUCCUCAGAACAGCCUCAUCAAGCGUGGGGGUGAGGCCCCCCCCCCCCCGUGCCGUCGCUCACGUGUGGAGAGGUACGCCGGCUCCGUCUUAACCUCAACCCGUCCUGCUGCAAUCCCAUCCCAAGACUAACCCCUUGCAUAAAGGGCUUCAGCUGGACUGCUUGGUGGAGGAGCAGCCCGCCGAUGUCUGUGGAGGAAUGGCUCUUCAGUGAUAACCUCUAAUUAAAAUCCGUGUCCCUAAGGUUCUGCAGAAUGUCCUCAGGUCAGAAUUGUUUUUGUUUUUGUUUGUGUCCAAAGCAGUUUCUUUCCACCGGCCGUAAAAUGAAUCAGAUACAACUGUUUGUGUUUUUGAAGCAAAGAUAACGGUCCAAAGAUGAAAUGGCGAUGCC